AUUGAACGCUGGCGGAAUGCUGUACACAUGCAAGUCGAACGGCAGCACGGACUUCGGUCUGGUGGCGAGUGGCGAACGGGUGAGUAAUGUAUCGGAACGUGCCCAGUCGUGGGGGAUAACGUAGUGAAAAUUACGCUAAUACCGCAUACGAUCUAUGGAUGAAAGCGGGGGAUCGCAAGACCGUGCGUGAUUGGAGCGGCCGAUAUCAGAUUAGGUAGUUGGUGGGGGAAAGGCCCACCAAGCCAACGAUCUGUAGCUGGUGUGAGAGGACGACCAGCCAACCUGGAACUGAGGAACGGUCCAGACUCCUACGGGAGGCAGCAGUGGGGAAUUUUAGACAAUGGGCGCAAGCCUGAUCCAGCCAUUCCGCGUGCAGGAUGAAGGCCCUCGGGUUGUAAACUGCUUUUGUACAGAACGAAAAGGUUUCUACUAAUACUAGGAGCUCAUGACGGUACUGUAAGAAUAAGCACCGGCUAACUACGUGCCAGCCGCCGCCGUAA
rnacentral:rRNA from 1 species